rnacentral:rRNA from 1 species
CAUAACCUUUAGCCACAAAACAGUAUUAAAGGCAACGCCUGCCCAGUGAACAAUUAAACGGCCGCGGUACUCUAACCGUGCAAAGGUAGCAUAAUCAUUUGUCCACUAAUUAUGGACUAGUAUGAAAGGCAAAAUGAGGGUUUAACUGUCUCUUAUAGUAAGUCAAUUAAACUGAUCUACCAGUAAAAAAGCUGGAAUAAACACACAAGACCAGAAGACCCUGUGAAGCUUAAACUAAACUAUUAAAUCAUAUAAUAACUACUUUCGGUUGGGGCGACCUUGGAAAAAAAACAACUUCCAAACUAGUGAUAGUCAAUCACCACCAGGCCAACAAGCCACAUAUGACCCAGCACACCUGAUAAUUGAACCAAGUUACUCCAGGGAUAACAGCGCCAUCUUCUUCAAGAGUCCAUAUCAAAAAGAAGGUUUACGACCUCGAUGUUGGAUCAGGNCAUCCCAAUGGUGUAGCCGCUAUUAAAGGUUCGUUUGUUCAACGAUUAACAGUCCUACGUGAUCUGAG